rnacentral:rRNA from 1 species
AUACAGAGGGUGCGAGCGUUAAUCGGAAUUACUGGGCGUAAAGCGCGCGUAGGCGGCUUAUUAAGUCAGAUGUGAAAUCCCCGGGCUCAACCUGGGAACUGCAUCUGAUACUGGUAAGCUAGAGUUUUGGAGAGGGAAGUAGAAUUUCAGGUGUAGCGGUGAAAUGCAUAGAGAUCUGAAGGAAUACCAGUGGCGAAGGCGACUUCCUGGCCAAAAACUGACGCUGAGGUGCGAAGGCGUGGGUAGCAAACGGGAUUAGAUACCCUAGUAGUCC